AUGCAGGCGAUGGUGGAUCCCAAUCUUUUUACGGGUUACACUAUUGGUAGGGAGGUUAUAAAAGUUAUUUCUCAUUUACAGUUUGUUGUUGACACCUUGCUUAUGGGGGUGAAGAGUUGGGCUAAUGUUAGAGCCUUGAGGAUUAUUCUCGUGCUAUUUGAAGCAAUGUCGGGUUUGAAAGUUAAUUUUCACAAAAGUAUGCUGGUCAAUACUAAUAUUCCAGAGUCUUGGGUGUAG